GACGAACGCUGGCGGCAUGCCUAAUACAUGCAAGUCGAGCGAACAGAUGAAGUGCUUGCACUUCUGACGUUAGCGGCGAGCGGGUGAGUAACACGUAAGGAAUCUACCUAUAAGCGGGGGAUAACAUUCGGAAACGGGCGCUAAUACCGCAUAAUAUCUUCUUCCGCAUGGAAGAAGAUUGAAAGACGGCCAUGCUGUCACUUAUAGAUGACCUUGCGGUGCAUUAGUUAGUUGGUGGGGUAAUGGCCUACCAAGACGAUGAUGCAUAGCCGACCUGAGAGGGUGAUCGGCCACAUUGGGACUGAGACACGGCCCAAACUCCUACGGGAGGCAGCAGUAGGGAAUCUUCCGCAAUGGGCGAAAGCCUGACGGAGCAAUGCCGCGUGAGUGAAGAAGGCCUUCGGGUCGUAAAACUCUGUUAUAAGAGAAGAACAAAUUGUAGAGUAACUGCUACAGUCUUGACGGUAUCUUAUCAGAAAGCCACGGCUAACUACGUGCCAGCAGCCGCGGUAA
rnacentral:rRNA from 1 species